CGCGUAGGCGGCUUGGCAAGUCUGGUGUGAAAUCUCACAGCUUAACUGUGAAACUGCAUCAGAAACUGCCUGGCUAGAGUGCGGGAGAGGAGAGUGGAAUUCCCAGUGUAGAGGUGAAAUUCGUAGAUACUGGGAGGAACACCGGUGGCGAAGGCGGCUCUCUGGACCGCAACUGACGCUGAGGCGCGAAAGCUAGGGGAGCGAACG
rnacentral:rRNA from 1 species